rnacentral:rRNA from 1 species
UACGUAGGGUGCAAGCGUUAAUCGGAAUUACUGGGCGUAAAGCGUGCGCAGGCGGUUGUGUAAGACAGAUGUGAAAUCCCCGGGCUCAACCUGGGAACUGCAUUUGUGACUGCACGGCUGGAGUGCGGCAGAGGGGGAUGGAAUUCCGCGUGUAGCAGUGAAAUGCGUAGAUAUGCGGAGGAACACCGAGGGCGUAGGCAGGUAACUAGGAAUUAUUUGACGCUGAGGAACGAAAGCUAGGGGAGCGAAAGGG